AAACGCACGCUAAGUGUGCUAAGUGGAGCCACGAUGGUACACAAUGGUAACCGUGACCCGCUUGCCGCGGCCAGCCACCGCCGUCGCCUGCGCCGCGGCCCCCGUAGUUCCGCCCCAAUCGCGACCUCGAAUCGGCGGCCGGAAUCUCCCGCCCCGCUUGAUUAGUCGAGGAGCAGGCUCGCUCAGGGCACGGGGCCGGUGGAUGCUCCGCCGCCGACGCUCGCGCGGUACCUCUCGCUGGGCUGGACCCGCUCGCCUCCGGGGCACCCCCUGAAGGCCAGAAGCAGCACGUACCGAGAACAGUAGAGCGCUCGCCGCCGACGAGGCGACGAUCAGGUCGACGAGCUCAGGCGGAUCUGCGCCAGCAUCGCGGACUCCACGGGCAAUGCCAGGCACGUAUCAUUCUCGGCUCCCCUGUUGCUAGCUUCUUUCCGUGCCACAUUGCUAACUACUAACUGCUAUGGGAAUGACCCGGGUAGGGAGAAGGUCAGGUCGCUCCGUCGCUGCACGGGGCCAUCCAGAAGCUCGACAUGUACAAGGGCAUUUCCACCGGCAAUCGAUCAGGAUAGGAGCGCAGGACAACUCUGAGGUCAUGAGCAAGCACCUGCGGCGAAUUCGGGUUCAUGCCUCAUCCCUUGGCUCACUCCACUGUUUGUUUCUCCUCAGCCCUUUAUGUGCUUGCUCGAGUUAACAUAAUAAACUUGGUUGUUCUGAGAGCUACUAGGACAAAUUUACAACCUUUACUAGUCUGCAACCAUUGUCACCAGGCCACUGUAUGUAUCAUUACUCUCCUUGGAGUUUCAGGUCCAGCAGCUCACAAAGUUUAAGUCUUGUCACAAACUUUUAAUGUUUUCGCUUUUGAGCAUCAAUCAUUAGUCAGUCUAUGACCCAAACCUAGGUUCCUAAGGGGCUGCUUGGUUCAGGCGCCACAGGCUGUGGCGUGGCUCGCCACGGCCGGUAACCAAGCAGCCCCUAAAUUUGGUAUUGAUCUGAACUCUACAAUUUCUUUUUUAAAAAAUGUUUUAGUCUUUGCUAUCUGAACUUUGAAAUUAGUCAUACUUCUGAUGUUGCUUUUGGCUAGUUACUGGUUUCUGCCUUUCUGGGAUACAGUUUUUCUUUUUAUGAAACGAUUUCUGGGAUACAGCUUGGUUUACUUACCUGCAGAAACAACCUUUUUCUCUCUUAUACCAUUCAAUCUCUGUAGCUAUUGAACUAAUACAGUUAUUUCGUGAUUCAAAUGUAGGAAUUCACAAAAGUGAUAGCCUUUAGCAUUUCUUAUCGUGAAGUAUAAUUCUAUCAGGUUUGUAUAUAGUAUCAAGCAUGUUAAAGAAAACUCUUUGCCUGCAAAAAAGAGUGGGUCCUAUUUGGAAAAAAAUGUGGUGAGGAUUAUUUCUCGGGGAAAGCUCACAGCUCUCUGGUUAUGAUUAACAGGUGAAUGCUCAUAAUCUAGCUGUGCCCUAGACAGAUUCUUAGCUUGUCUGACAGACAUACAAUGCAAAAGACACCUUUGUCAAAUAAUAGAAGGCUUCCUUUAAAGGAAAACCUACUUUAUUUAUAACUAAAAGCUCCAGUUACAUGAUGUUUGAGAAAAAAGGGUUUCAAAUAAGCAAGUACAAGAGGAAAUAAAGUGUCACGUUAGUCAUUGGCUGAUGCUUAGAAUCAAUCUGACAAUUAAAAUUUACAAAAGAAAACUUUCCAAGUUGCUCUUCUUCCGAGAGCCCUUCUUAGCUGCCAUAUGCGGUAGCUUUCCAAUCCCAUAACUGAAGGAGCGGUUCUUGUGUGGUAGUAUCCGAGACCUCCUUACCUUGAUUCUCCCUCUACAUUGCAGUUCAUUUCAGUUUGAUGUCACUUGAUGUCCCAAACCUGGCGAACAAAAAUCACUGAAAAGCAAACCUUUUAGGUUGCCUUCUUCCCAGAGCGCUUCUUGAUUGUGGUGCGGCAUGACUUUCGUAUCUCACAGCUGAAAAUGUGGUUCUUGUAUGGUGGCAUUUGGGACCUUCAUGCUAGGACCUCGAUUCUCCCUCUACAUUCCAUAGUUCCAACUAGGAUAUCCUCAAAUGUUAUAUUGGGAACUUCCUCGUGACCAGAAUUUGUUUGAUACUGAUUAUGGACCACACAAAAUUCAGCAUUGGCCAUUCUCUGAAAAAUCGUCAAAAUUCAGCAUUGGCCAUUCUCUGAAAAAUCGUAGGCUUAUUUUUUUUUUGCAUGAGGGCACAUGGAUGUUCACCAAACAUGGAGGUGUUCCUUUGUAUAUGGAGCCUUGUAAAUUUAAGUGCUCUCGACCAAAAUUGAGCAUUAAGGUUAGAUCUCAAUAAGCCACCAAUUAUGUUUACACCCAUGAACGACCCAUUUAUCUCCAUGCCAAUCUCCAUGGCUAUUGAUGCCAACUUUGGUUGUUCCUCAGGAUCUGUACUGCCAAAUGUGAGCACCUUGAAGAAAUACCAGAAUGCUUCUCUGGUUAGAUGGUUCAAUACAAGAGCUUGUGUGGUACCAAAUUCAAUGAUUUUUCUAGAUUGACAUGUGAUUAUGACUUUGCUACCGCUGGCAAUUCCACCAACAUAAGUUGAAUAUAUGUUUUUCCAUGUAUCCUCGUCGAUAUCCUUUGGCAAUUCAAUGAUAAGUAGCAGCGCUUUAUUUCCAUCAGAGAUGCUUUGAUACUUGCUCACUGCACAGCUAUUCUUGGUAUUAUUUAGCAUUUGCUCUUUCAAAUCAUCUUCCGUGAUCAAAAGAAUUUGAGAAAAUAGAUCACGCACCGUUCAUUGUUGCAGACAUGUGAAACUAGGGUGCUCUUUCCUGCAGCCGAUGGGCCAACUAUUGGUAGGGCGCCCACACUUUGUGCACAAGAAUAUGUUUGCACUGAAAACCUCAUCACCCUUUCCAUCUCCAUUUGACGAGCAAACAUGCACUUGCUUGUCAAGAAAGAGGUGCAUGCUGUAAGGUUACUGGUAUAAUGGAGAAUGGUUCUUCAGAAAUGCAACAAACUCAUUCAUGUCACUGAUGAUGCUAUUUAAAUUUUGAAGAACCUUUUCUAGCUCCUCCUUGCCAUGUGUAUUGUUGGAGGAGAGAAAGAGACGCUUGACGGGGUUGAAUUUAGACAUGGAAAAAGAAUGACUCACUCCAUGAUCAAUUGGCCUCCUUUUCUUCACUACUGUCUUGACUUAUGAAGUUGUCUAAGGUGUAAUAACCCCUGUAAACCUCCUUUCUCAGUAUGUUCAGUUGCUCUACCAUAGCUUGAUUUGUAUGUAAUGUGCCGUCCCUCUGCCUCCUCAAUGAUAACACGGCCACAUCGGAGUAGCCGUUGUAGGCUCUGUAUGCUCUGGUCCUCCAUAGCUUGUGCUGUUGGGCGUCGAGCAUUUGUCAAUCAAGAAAGAUGUAGAUCUGUUGGUAAUCAUUUCCCCGACUGCAUUGAAAGUGGCUUCCAUUGGAAAACUUACUCUCCUAGCUGAUAAAUAGUUGAACCUCUUCUUAGUUAUUACAUCUAUGAGCGUAAAGCACAGCGUGCAUCAUGGAAUACACAAAAAUAUAUAGCACUUACAAAGUACUUCCUGGGAUUCUUAGCAUGGCACGGACAUUGCAUUUGGCUUGAACAAAUAUAUACAUCUCCUGGGAUUUGACACCAUCUUCCUAGAACCACACGCCAAUUAUGGACAAUCAUCGAAGGAACCUAGAACAAAGAUGCAUGGCAAGGCAACAGGCAUAGUUUCCUCCGCAUGCUGCUUGACUAAUUAAUUUGGGCAUGACUCUUUGCUCCUUCAGAAUAUCGCUCUCUUAACAAUGUCAUGGCCUAUUAACUAGUUUCUAACUUAUUCACUAUCUGCUCAGAUGAUGCAAAAUGGAGUUUUUUUUUGUUUGAAUAUAUAAGACCAUUGACCAACACAUGCAGAUUGAUAUGACAGGGAAGAAACAGAGCAGCCUGAGCAUAUAUUCUGCUGAUUUACAACAGCAGAUGGCACCAGGAGCAUGCUGAAGUGUGAAUCGACAGGUUUGCAACUGAACACACGGUACAUUCUGCUCAUAAUUAAGAUACAAGUUGCAAAACUACGCAUGUUUAGGAUUACAUCUUACGGACUAUUAUCUAAUCACACACAUGUAAAGCUCUUUGCUUGGCAUCUACUGGUGGACCCGCUUAAUUGUUCAUGAUCGAUGGUCCGUCUUUGCAGAAGCAGGAAAGCUCAAAUCUUGAUUACCAUUUCAGGCUGCUUGUCAUCGUGCUGACCUCCCGAAGCUCCAUUCCUCCAGGGAGCCGGGUGCUUCUUGCUUCCUUUCUUCGAGUUGUGGUCCUCCUCGUCAUC
rnacentral:lncRNA from 1 species